AGGAUUAGAUACCCUGGUAGUCCACGCCCUAAACGAUGUACACUAGUUGUUGGGGUGCUAGUCAUCUCAGUAAUGCAGCUAACGCAUUAAGUGUACCGCCUGGGGAGUACGGUCGCAAGAUUAAAACUCAAAGGAAUAGACGGGGACCCGCACAAGCGGUGGAGCAUGUGGUUUAAUUCGAAGAUACGCGAAGAACCUUACCUGGGCUUGAUAUCCUAAGAACCUUUUAGAGAUAAGAGGGUGCUAGCUUGCUAGAACUUAGAGACAGGUGCUGCACGGCUGUCGUCAGCUCGUGUCGUGAGAUGUUGGGUUAAGUCCCGCAACGAGCGCAACCCACGUAUUUAGUUGCUAACGGUUCGGCCGAGCACUCUAAAUAGACUGCCUUCGUAAGGAGGAGGAAGGUGUGGACGACGUCAAGUCAUCAUGGCCCUUAUGCCCAGGGCGACACACGUGCUACAAUGGCAUAUACAAUGAGACGCAAUACCGCGAGGUGGAGCAAAUCUAUAAAAUAUGUCCCAGUUCGGAUUGUUCUCUGCAACUCGAGAGCAUGAAGCCGGAAUCGCUAGUAAUCGUAGAUCAGCCAUGCUACGGUGAAUACGUUCCCGGGUCUUGUACUCACCGCCCGUCACACCAUGGGAGUUGAUUUCACUCGAAGCCGGAAUACUAAACUAGUUACCGUCCACAGUGGAAUCAGCGACUGGGGUGAAGUCGUAACAAGGUAACCGUAGGAGAACCUGCGGUUGGAUCACCUCCUUU
rnacentral:rRNA from 1 species